rnacentral:rRNA from 1 species
UUUGACCUCAAAUCAGGUAGGACUACCCGCUGAACUUAAGCAUAUCAAUAAGCGGAGGAAAAGAAACUAACAAGGAUUCCCCUAGUAACUGCGAGUGAAGCGGGAAAAGCUCAAAUUUAAAAUCUGGUAGUCUUUGGCUGCCCGAGUUGUAAUCUAGAGAAGCAUUAUCUGCUCUGGACUGUGUAUAAGUAUCCUGGAAUGGAUCAUCAUAGAGGGUGAGAAUCCCGUCUUUGACACAGACUCCCAGUGCUUUGUGAUGUGCUCUCAAAGAGUCGAGUUGUUUGGGAAUGCAGCUCUAAAUGGGUGGUAAAUUCCAUCUAAAGCUAAAUAUUGGCGAGAGACCGAUAGCGAACAAGUACCGUGAGGGAAAGAUGAAAAGAACUUUGGAAAGAGAGUUAAACAGUACGUGAAAUUGCUGAAAGGGAAACGCUUGAAGUCAGUCGCGUUGGCUGGGGAUCAACCUUGCUUUUUGCUUGGCUUACUUCCCAGUUGACGGGUCAGCAUCAGUUUUGACCGGUGGAUAAAGG